rnacentral:lncRNA from 1 species
UGCCAUCAGCAAGGAGAUUUUGGGAUGGAGCCGGACCCCGGGCACUCAUCACACACCACCGCUGGCACCACCGAGGUCGGCAGGGACCUGGGGGCACCGCGGUGGCCUGGGGGCACACGGUGCCAGUCCCUUGGCCAGGGCACGACACAAAUCCCCCCUGGCCCGCGCCGUACCAGCCCCGUAACAAGGCUGACCGGAUUAUCCCCGCCUGCAUUUAGGUGUAAUUAAACCUCGGAUUAACUCCUUCACAGGGAGAAAAACAACGCGGCCGCAGGCGGGAAGGGACAGGUUCCACAGCUCGUUGCAUCAGGGCCGCGCUGCGCGGGCGUCGCGCACCCUCCCGCCCCGAAAUCCCGGCGGGGCAUCGACGUGGCCGUACCCCACCGGGGUCAUCGCCCGCGGGCUGGGCCGGAGUUCGGCUCGGGUUUGACGGCAGGCGAUAAGAUAAAGCCUCCGACGUUGCCCUCGCAUCAGAUCGAACCCCACGGAGGCCGAUAAAGGUGGGACAGAGGCAACGCCGCUCUUGGCACCGACUCCAAAGGUGGAGGAGGGGGGUGACGGCCACCACCUCGCCCACCCGUGCCUGGAAAAUUGGGGACACCAGGGGCUCCCCGCUUGGCACACGGAUCCCUAACAGGAUGGGGAGCGCUGGCGGGGCUCCAUCCUCCGGGAUGGGAGCAGGCAGCCGAAAGCGGACCCUGGGGAUGCUCCAAGGCCAGGGCCUGGCUUUGGGCCUCGCAGGGUGACAGUGGCGAUGGGCGAUGGGGACCGGUGGUGACCGCUACCGGUGCCGGUGCGCGCCCGGUGCCGGUGGGUACCCAAGGGGGUCCCGGUACCCAAGGGGGGUCCCGGUACCCAAGGGGGUCCCGGUGCCCGUAGCAUCCCCCCCUCGCCAUCAUCCCGGUGCUGGGCUCACCUGGGCCAGCGCCUCCGCUUGCCGUGGGCUCAGGUCCCCGACGCGGCCGCUCAUGGUGCCGGCCCGGCACGGCUCGGCUCGGCACCGCCUCUUAAGGGCAGGUUGCGGCUGCUCCGCCCCGUGCCGCCCCCGGUACGGCUCAGCCCGGCUCGGCUCGGCUCGGUCCCGCAGCCCUUGGACUCUGCCCGCCCCCGGUGGCCGCACGGUGGGAGAUGAGGAGCCUGAGCUGGGCGCUGAGGACAGCUGGAUCGGCGUGGUGCCGCUGGGCGAGGAGCCGGCCGACGGUCCCCGAGGUGCCAAGGAGGAGUCCUUCACUGCCGCCGUGGUCAGCAAGAUGAAGCGAGCCCUGGUGCUCGGGGCAUCGGCACUGCUCAUCCUGGCGCUGAACCAGAACGCCAUCCGAGAGGUAGGGGAGCUCCAGCAGCCCUGCUGGCGCCCUGGAUCCUCUUCUGCAUCACUCACGGGUAUUGGUUUUGUGUUCGGUGCAGCUGGAUGUCUCUCAGCUCCUCGCCAAGCCCAUCAUCGUGAUCCAGUCCUCGGACAACGUCACCAGGCUGCUGGGCGCACUGCUGCGGUGAGAGCUCUCCUGAAGCAGUCGGGUUUGUGCUACGGCCGCUGAAGGGUGGCAGGGCACGGCCAGCACUUGGGGGAAGCACCAGGAGGGAUGGGACAGAAGGGGCCCAAGGGGGUGUCUGGCAUGCUCAGCCUGGCACAGGAGCUGGGGCAUCUGCUGUGCUUUCACAGAUGGG